rnacentral:ncRNA from 1 species
UAAUAGAUAAUAAAUAAUUAUGUUUAAAAAAAUUUAUUAAAGGUUUAUUUUAUAUAUAAAUUAUAGUGUUAAAUUAUUAUUAUUUUAAUAAUAAUAAUAUUAUUAUUAUAGUAAAUAAAAUUAAAAAUUUAAGAAAUUAAGAUUUAGUAAUACAAAAAUUAAUAACAAAUUUUGUGCCAGCAGUUGCGGUUACACAAAAAUUAAAUUGAAUUAUUUCAGUUUAUAAAUAAUAAAUUAAAAUUAAAAUAAAUAUUAAAUUAUUAGGUAAAAUUUUAAUUUAAUUAAAUUUUAUGGUUGAAUUUAUGUUUUAAUAAAUUUUAAAUUAAACUAGGAUUAGAUACCCUAUUAUUAAAAAUUUAAAUUAUAAUACUAAAAUAGUAAAUAAUUGUUUAUUGAAACUUAAAUAAUAUGGCGGUAUUUUAGUUCAUUUAGAGGAAUCUGUUUAAUAAUUGAUAAUCCACGAUUAAAUUUACUUAAUUAAUAAUUUUAUAUAUCGUUGUUAAAAAAAUAUUUUUAAUUAAUAAUAAUAUUUAAAAAUUAAAAUAAAAAAUUAAUUCAGAUCAAGAUGUAGAUUAUAAUUAAGAAUAUAAUGGAUUACAAUGAAAUUAUUUAAAUGGAUAUAUUAUUGAAAAAUGAUAUUGAAGGUGGAUUUAAAUGUAAUUUUAUUUAAUUAGAUAAAAUGAUUUAAAAUUAAAAUAUGUACAUAUUGCCCGUCACUUUCAUUUUAAAGUUGAAAUAAGUCGUAACAAAGUAGAGGUACUGGAAAGUGUUUCUAGAAAA